rnacentral:rRNA from 1 species
GCCGCCGCGGGAACACCGGCGGCCCGAGUGGUGAUCGUGAUUAUGGGUCUAAAGGGUCCGUAGCCGGUUGGUCAGUCCUCCGGGAAAUCUGAUAGCUCAACUAUUAGGCUUUCGGGGGAUACUGCCAGACUUGGAACCGGGAGAGGUAAGAGGUACUACAGGGGUAGGAGUGAAAUCUUGUAAUCCCUGUGGGACCACCUGUGGCGAAGGCGUCUUACCAGAACGGGUUCGACGGUGAGGGACGAAAGCUGGGGGCACGAACCGGAUUAGAUACCCGGGUAGUCCCAGCCGUAAACGAUGCUCGCUAGGUGUCAGGCAUGGCGCGACCGUGUCUGGUGCCGCAGGGAAGCCGUGAAGCGAGCCACCUGGGAAGUACGGCCGCAAGGCUGAAACUUAAAGGAAUUGGCGGGGGAGCACAACAACGGGUGGAAGCCUGCGGUUUAAUUGGACUCAACGCCGGACAACUCACCGGGGGCGACAGCAAUAUGUAGGCCAAGCUGAAGACUUUGCCUGAAUCGCUGAGAAGAGGUGCAUGG